rnacentral:rRNA from 1 species
GGGUAGAGUAAUGCGUGACCAACCUGCCCCAUGCUCCAGAAUAGCUCUUGGAAACGGGUGGUAAUGCUGGAUGCUCCAACUUGACGCAUGUCUUGUUGGGAAAGUGUUUAGUGGCAUGGGAUGGGGUCGCGUCCUAUCAGCUUGUAGGCGGGGUAAUGGCCCACCUAGGCUUCGACGGGUAGCCGGCCUGAGAGGGCGGACGGCCACAUUGGGACUGAGAUACGGCCCAGACUCCUACGGGAGGCAGCAGCC